rnacentral:rRNA from 1 species
UACGUAGGGUGCGAGCGUUAAUCGGAAUUACUGGGCGUAAAGGGUGCGCAGGCGGCUCCGCAUGUCGGGCGUGAAAUCCCCGGGCUUAACCUGGGAAUUGCGUCCGAAACUAUGGAGCUGGAGUGUGGCAGAGGGAGGUGGAAUUCCACGUGUAGCGGUGAAAUGCGCAGAUAUCAGGAGGAACACCGGUGGCGAAGGCGGAUCUCUGGGCCGAUACUGACGCUGAGGAGCGAAAGCGUGGGGAGCGAACAGG